CCUGCAAUUUUUCACAGCAGAGGAUAAAAUUGCACUGCUACUAACCUAUGUCAAACUCACCAUCAUAGGAGUGAGCUGUUGGGAAAAAGAUAUAAAAGAAAGAAGAGGAGAGGUGUUGCACGUGAUGGAGAAGUCAGGGCCGCAAUUGUGGAAUUUUCAUGGGACACUUAUGGGCUUCCUGCAAAGGACAAGUGCUGCAAGCAUAAGCCAUCAACAACAGCAUGAUUCAGCUGCUUCAAUGACUUUCCUAUGGCUAUAAAAAGGAGAUGGAAAGCCGUGAACAAUCAUCAAGUUUCACUCUCUUUUCGCUCUUCAUUCUCGGCUAUCUCUCAUUUUUCCACCACCACAAUCCUCACUUCCUUUCUUGUCUGAACCUGUUUUGUGAGCUCCAUGAGCAUAGUUUGGAGCACCACCAUGGGAAGGAGGAAGUGACAGCCGCGAGCUCUCUCCCCCUCCCCUGUUUUCCGAUUACCUUUCCCGCCGCAAGAACCGCCGUGAACUUCAUCUUCGCCGAAAAAUUUCCAGAACUUGAUUUUGGAUACGAAGUGUGAGAAUGCGGUCAUGUUGGAGCUAAGGAAUGAAAGGAAAGCGAGCCGGUACGAGGAGCGAUGGCGUGAUUGAUCGAAGUCGCAACUUAGGAAAGAAAGUGUCUAAGGGUUGCUGCAAAAAGAGGGCAAGAAACCAACAUGGUGAGGUUGGAGCAGGACGUGUUGUUCCAGUCUUCCUCUUCAAUUUUCUGUUUAAAAUUAUGUUGUUUGGGAUUUUUUUUUUGUCAAGAAUUGUAUUUGGGAUUAUACUUGGAUUAAUUUGGUUUGUGUUAAUUAGAGUUGAAAUUGAGUUAAUUUAAAUGAAAAAAAAUUAACACCUAGCCUCAUUAAUCCCAUGUGGCCAUGCGGCAUGGGCCAUCGGAACUUCAGCGUUGACCUAGAGCUAUGGAGGGACCAAAACCAAACCUUUUGACGAAGGUAAGGGACUAAAUGC